CCCGUUGUUGUCCAGCGGUUAGGAUGUCUGGCUUUCACCCGGGAGACCAGAGUUCGAUUCUCGCAACGGAA
rnacentral:tRNA from 1 species